rnacentral:misc_RNA from 1 species
GAUGAAGAACGUAGCGAAAUGCGAUAAGUAAUGUGAAUUGCAGAAUUCAGUGAAUCAUCGAAUCUUUGAACGCACAUUGCGCCCCCUGGUAUUCCGGGGGGCAUGCCUGUUCGAGCGUCAUUUCACCACUCAAGCCUCGCCUGGUAUUGGGCAACGCGGUCCGCCGCGUGCCUCAAAUCGUCCGGCUGGGUCUUCUGUCCCCUAAGCGUUGUGGAAACUAUUCGCUAAAGGGUGUUCGGGAGGCUACGCCGUAAAACAACCCCAUUUCUAAGGUUGACCUCGGAUCAGGUAGGGAUACCCGCUGAACUUAAGCAUAUCAAUAAGCGGAGGA